rnacentral:ribozyme from 1 species
UUUCUUUGUUAUAUUGCUCAGCUUCCUUUUGAUGUUGCAUAUCUACUGGAUAUUUAUGAUGUGCAAGAUGGUAUAUAAUUAUGCCACUAAGUCUGUUGCAGCUGACUUAACUUCAUGCAUUCGGGACAAAAAAGAAAACUGAUGAAGCAAAAAUUAUUCAUUUUAUAAUAAAAUUUACUUUUAAAUCAAAAAAAAAAAAAAAAAAAAAAAAA